UUAAGUUAAUAAGGGCGCACGGUGGAUGCCUUGGCACUAGAAGCCGAUGAAGGACGUGACUAACGACGAAAUGCUUUGGGGAGCUGUAAGUGAGCAAUGAUCCAGAGAUGUCCGAAUGGGGGAACCCGGCAGGUAAUGCCUGUCACUCAUUACUGUUAAGGUAAUGUAGAGGAAGACGCAGUGAACUGAAACAUCUAAGUAGCUGUAGGAAGAGAAAGCAAAAGCGAUUGCCUUAGUAGCGGCGAGCGAAACGGCAAGAGGGCAAACCGAAGAGUUUACUCUUCGGGGUUGUAGGACUGCAACGUGGACUUAAAGAUUAUAGAAGAACUACCUGGGAAGGUAGGCCAAAGAGAGUAAUAGCCUCGUAUUCGAAAUAGUCUUUAUACCUAGCAGUAUCCUGAGUACGGCGAGACACGAGAAAUCUCGUCGGAAUCUGGGAGGACCAUCUCCCAACCCUAAAUACUCUCUAGUGACCGAUAGUGAACCAGUACCGUGAGGGAAAGGUGAAAAGCACCCCGGGAGGGGAGUGAAAUAGAACCUGAAACCGUGUGCCUACAACAAGUUCGAGCCCGUUAAUGGGUGAGAGCGUGCCUUUUGUAGAAUGAACCGGCGAGUUACGAUAUGAUGCGAGGUUAAGUUGAAGAGACGGAGCCGUAGGGAAACCGAGUCUUAAUAGGGCGCAUUAGUAUCAUGUCGUAGACCCGAAACCAUGUGACCUACCCAUGAGCAGGUUGAAGGUGAGGUAAAACUCACUGGAGGACCGAACCAGGGCACGUUGAAAAGUGCUUGGAUGACUUGUGGGUAGCGGAGAAAUUCCAAACGAACUUGGAGAUAGCUGGUUCUCUCCGAAAUAGCUUUAGGGCUAGCGUCGAUGUUAAGUCUCUUGGAGGUAGAGCACUGUUUGGGUGAGGGGUCCAUCCCGGAUUACCAAUCUCAGAUAAACUCCGAAUGCCAAUGAGAUAUAAUCGGCAGUCAGACUGCGAGUGCUAAGAUCCGUAGUCGAAAGGGAAACAGCCCAGACCACCAGCUAAGGUCCCAAAAUAUAUGUUAAGUGGAAAAGGAUGUGGGGUUGCACAGACAACUAGGAUGUUAGCUUAGAAGCAGCUAUUCAUUCAAAGAGUGCGUAAUAGCUCACUAGUCGAGUGACCCUGCGCCGAAAAUGUACCGGGGCUAAAACAUAUUACCGAAGCUGUGGAUACCUUUAUAGGUAUGGUAGGAGAGCGUUCUAUGUGCGAAGAAGGUGUACCGUGAGGAGUGCUGGAGCGCAUAGAAGUGAGAAUGCCGGUAUGAGUAGCGAAAGACAGGUGAGAAUCCUGUCCACCGUAAGACUAAGGUUUCCAGGGGAAGGCUCGUCCGCCCUGGGUUAGUCGGGACCUAAGGAGAGACCGAAAGGUGUAUCCGAUGGACAACAGGUUGAUAUUCCUGUACUAGAGUAUAUAGUGAUGGAGGGACGCAGUAGGCUAACUAAACCAGACGAUUGGAAGUGUCUGGCCAAGCAGUGAGGUGUGAUAUGAGUCAAAUGCUUAUAUCUUUAACAUUGAGCUGUGAUGGGGAGCGAAGUUUAGUAGCGAAGUUAGUGAUGUCACACUGCCGAGAAAAGCUUCUAGCGUUAAUUAUACUCUACCCGUACCGCAAACCGACACAGGUAGUCGAGGCGAGUAGCCUCAGGUGAGCGAGAGAACUCUCGUUAAGGAACUCGGCAAAAUGGCCCCGUAACUUCGGGAGAAGGGGCGCUGACUGAUGGUCAGCCGCAGUGAAUAGGCCCAAGCAACUGUUUAUCAAAAACACAGCUCUCUGCUAAAUCGUAAGAUGAUGUAUAGGGGGUGACGCCUGCCCGGUGCUGGAAGGUUAAGAGGAGUGCUUAGCGUAAGCGAAGGCAUGAAUUGAAGCCCCAGUAAACGGCGGCCGUAACUAUAACGGUCCUAAGGUAGCGAAAUUCCUUGUCGGGUAAGUUCCGACCCGCACGAAAGGCGUAAUGAUUUGGGCACUGUCUCAACGAGAGACUCGGUGAAAUUUUAGUACCUGUGAAGAUGCAGGUUACCCGCGACAGGACGGAAAGACCCCAUGGAGCUUUACUGCAGUUUGAUAUUGAGUAUCUGUACCACAUGUACAGGAUAGGUAGGAGCCUAUGACCUCGGGACGCCAGUUUCGAGUGAGGCGUUGUUGGGAUACUACCCUUGUGUUAUGGCUACUCUAACCCAGAUAGGUUAUCCCUAUCGGAGACAGUGUCUGACGGGCAGUUUGACUGGGGCGGUCGCCUCCUAAAAGGUAACGGAGGCGCCCAAAGGUUCCCUCAGAAUGGUUGGAAAUCAUUCGCAGAGUGUAAAGGUAUAAGGGAGCUUGACUGCGAGAGCUACAACUCGAGCAGGGACGAAAGUCGGGCUUAGUGAUCCGGUGGUUCCGCAUGGAAGGGCCAUCGCUCAACGGAUAAAAGCUA
rnacentral:rRNA from 1 species